AAUAAGAUUAUUUUUCGUUCCCAUGCCUAACGUUUGACCAUUCGUCUUAUUUGAAAAAAUUGUAUAAAUACUUAAAAAAAUUAGUCACACAUAAAGUACUAUUCAUGUUUUAUCAUCUGAUAAGAAUAAAAAUAUUAAUCAUAAAUUUUUUUCAAAUAAGACGAAUGGUUAAAUGUUGAACACGGAAAAAC
rfam:Oryza brachyantha chromosome 9, whole genome shotgun sequence.